rnacentral:rRNA from 1 species
CCUACGUGCGACAGCAGUGAGGAAUAUUGGUCAAUGGACGAGAGUCUGAACCAGCCCAGUAGCGUGAAGGAUGACUGCCCUAUGGGUUGUACACUUCUUUUAUAUGGGAAUAAAAUGUUCCACGUGUGGGAUUUUGUAUGUACCAUAUGAAUAAGGAUCGGCUAACUCCUUGCCAGCCGCCGCGGUAAUACGGAGGAUCCGAGCGUUAUCCGGAUUUAUUGGGUUUAAAGGUAGCGUAGGUGGAUUGUUAAGUCAGUUGUGAAAGUUUGCGGCUCAACCGUAAAAUUGCCGUUGAAACUGGCAGUCUUUAGUACAGUAGAGGUGGGCGGAAUUCGUGGUGGAGCGGUGAAAUGCUUAGAUAUCACGAAGAACUCCGAUUGCGAAGGCAGCUCACUGGACUGCAACUGACACUGAGGCUCGAAAGUGUGGGUAUCAAACAGGAUUAGAUACCCUGGUAGUC